rnacentral:snoRNA from 1 species
CUGCAGCCAGUUGAGCUGACUGAGUUCCUUUCCUCAUGGGGGCCCAGUGUGCAGUGGCUACAAACAGCAGCUUCUUUGGUAGUAUACUCAGCCUGUUUCUUUUUUUUUUUUUUGAGGCGGAGUUUCACUCUUGUUACCCAG